rnacentral:rRNA from 1 species
GACGAACGCUGGCGGCGUGCUUAACACAUGCAAGUCGAACGGAAAGGCCCUGCUUUUGUGGGGUGCUCGAGUGGCGAACGGGUGAGUAACACGUGAGUAACCUGCCCUUGACUUUGGGAUAACUUCAGGAAACUGGGGCUAAUACCGGAUAGGAGCUCCUGCUGCAUGGUGGGGGUUGGAAAGUUUCGGCGGUUGGGGAUGGACUCGCGGCUUAUCAGCUUGUUGGUGGGGUAGUGGCUUACCAAGGCUUUGACGGGUAGCCGGCCUGAGAGGGUGACCGGGCAAAUUGGGACCGAGAAACGGCCCAAACUUCUACGGGGGGGAGGAGGGGGGAAUAUUGGAAAAAGGGCGGAAGCCGGAUGGAGCAACGCCGGGUGGGGGAUGACGGCCUUCGGGGUGGAAACCGCUUUCGCCUGUGACGAAGCGUGAGUGACGGUAAUGGGUAAAGAAGCACCGGCUAACUACGUG